UUAAUCGCAAUAAAGGAUCGAAGUAGUUUUGCAAAUCCCUUUUUAGAGAACUGGCGGUUGGUGAAAGCCAGUAUAUAUUUGCAGGCGAAUUACAAUCUGGAGCUUUUUUCUAGUAAAUGAAAACGGUGAAAUCACAUCGUUAACAAACCCGAAAGUGGCAUUUCUAUGCAACAAGGGUGGUACCGCGAAUAAACUCUCGUCCCUUUU
rnacentral:ncRNA from 1 species